AUUGAACGCUGGCGGCAGGCCUAACACAUGCAAGUCGAACGGUAGCACAGCGAGCUUGCUCGCGGGUGACGAGUGGCGGACGGGUGAGUAACGUCUGGGAAACUGCCCGAUGGAGGGGGAUAACUACUGGAAACGGUAGCUAAUACCGCAUAACGUCGCAAGACCAAAGUGGGGGACCUUCGGGCCUCACACCACCGGAUGUGCCCAGAUGGGAUUAGCUAGUAGGUGGGGUAAUGGCUCACCUAGGCGACGAUCCCUAGCUGGUCUGAGAGGAUGACCAGCCACACUGGAACUGAGACACGGUCCAGACUCCUACGGGAGGCAGCAGUGGGGAAUAUUGCACAAUGGGCGCAAGCCUGAUGCAGCCAUGCCGCGUGUAUGAAGAAGGCCUUCGGGUUGUAAUGUACUUUCAGAGGGGAGGAAGGCGGUGAAGUUAAUAACUUCACCGAUUGACGUUACCGGCAGAAGAAGCACCGGCUAACUCCGUGCCAGCAGCCGCGGUAA
rnacentral:rRNA from 1 species